rnacentral:snRNA from 1 species
GCAGGUGAGAGUGAUCUAACUGCAACAUCUGCCACCCCACUGACCACCAGAGUUGAUUUGGCUGAUCUGGUUGGCUAGGUGGGGGUUCCCUUCCUUCCUCACCUUUCCAUGAGUAUCCCUCCUGAAGCUGUGCACUCAAUCAGAGAAGACGACCAUCCUAGGUAGAGGAGGGCUCUUUCCUCAUUCAAGGGUAUACAAGUAGCCACACUCCCCUGCUACAACCUCCAAACAAGCUCGUGAGAAUACUUGCCCAAAGUUACAUAAUGAGAAGAACAUGGUCUUGAAUCCAGGACAUGGCUAGCAAUCUUUCCACAAUGCCAAGCUCUCUGUCCAUUGGGCAAGAGCAUUAG